AACGAACGCUGGCGGCAUGCCUAACACAUGCAAGUCGAACGAGACCUUCGGGUCUAGUGGCGCACGGGUGCGUAACGCGUGGGAACCUGCCCUUAGGUUCGGAAUAACUCCCCGAAAGGGGUGCUAAUACCGGAUAAUGUCUUCGGACCAAAGAUUUACCGCCUUUGGAUGGGCCCGCGUUGGAUUAGCUAGUUGGUAGGGUAAAAGCCUACCAAGGCGACGAUCCAUAGCUGGUCUGAGAGGAUGAUCAGCCACACUGGGACUGAGACACGGCCCAGACUCCUACGGGAGGCAGCAGUGGGGAAUAGUGGACAAUGGGCGAAAGCCUGAUCCAGCAAUGCCGCGUGAGUGAUGAAGGCCUUAGGGUUGUAAAGCUCUUUUACCCGGGAUGAUAAUGACAGUACCGGGAGAAUAAGCUCCGGCUAACUCCGUG
rnacentral:rRNA from 1 species